rnacentral:rRNA from 1 species
UGACAAAGUUCAACGGCCACGGUAUCCUAACCGUGCGAAGGUAGCAUAAUCACUUGUUCUUUAAAUGAGGACUUGUAUCAACGGCAUCACGAGGGUUAUACUGUCUCCUUUUUCUAAUCAGUGAAACUAAUCUUCCCGUGAAGAAGCGGGAAUACUCCCAUAAGACGAGAAGACCCCAUGGAGCUUCAAACCCAAUUACACCCCUAACCCAUAUAACUAUUUAACCCUUAGGGCCCUGUACCAUUGGUUUUAGGUUGGGGCGACCACGGAGUACAACAAAACCUCCACAAUGAACGGAACUACUCCCUCAUCUAAGAGCUACACCUCUAAGAAUUAAAAUAUUAACAUAAAAUGAUCCAUUUUUUGAUCAAUGAACCAAGUUACCCUGGGGAUAACAGCGCAAUCCAUUUCAAGAGCCCCUAUCACAAAUGGGUUUACGACCUCGAUGUUGGAUCAGGGUAUCCUAGUGGUGCAGCAGCUACUGAAGGUUCGUUUGUUCAACGAUCAAAACCCUAC